AGCCGUCGAGAAUACGUGCCUUCACGGUUGUUUCAUCACAAAGCAUGCCAGGACAUAAUUCUCGUACAUUUUUAUACCUUCGCCGUGAUCAGCUGUCCCGUUGCAAACAAAGGGAUUCUUAUCAAGCAACAUCUUAAUCUUGUACAUAAUCCGCUAUUCUGCAGUGAUUUUCUUUCACUCCAGUAUCAUUUGUACGUUGCAGCAUCAUCAAACACUAUGGCCGAUGAAUCAGAAGAUGACGUAGAUGCUACGAGAGAGCUCAUUUCACAAUGGACAACAGAAGUGAUACGUGCCUUUCUACAAGGAGGGGACUCAAGCUUGGAAAUUGAGGAGUCAUUAUUUUAUGGGUGUUCUCUGCCCUGACGCUGGGGGUACUGUUCAGCCAUCUGAGGUAGAGAGGUAGAGAGGAACUGGACGAUGGAUGGAUGGGGGGGGGGGGAGAAAGAAAGGCAUGCAGAGAUGGCUGUCUACUAUGUAUAGAGACAUUUGUGUGCUACUGGAUAAGGACCCUCCAUCACUAGAGGGAAGAAUAAUGAGAGACUACAAAUAGGGGAAGGCAUUUAGUUAUUUUGCCAGUUUCUGGUUAGGGAGACAUUUGUUUCAUCUCCUGGGAGAAAGCUGUCUGAAAUUCAAAAUGUAUUUGAUACUUGAAUAAAUUUAGUUCAUUUUCUAGACUGGUUCAUGUCAAACC